rfam:Ictidomys tridecemlineatus contig066637, whole genome shotgun sequence.
GGGGUUGUGGCUCAGUGGCAGAGCACUUGCUUCACACGUGUGAGGCCCUGGGUUCGAUCCUCAGCAUCACAU